ACGAUGAUGACGGUACCCGUAGAAGAAGCCCCGGCUAACUUCGUGCCAGCAGCCGCGGUAAUACGAAGGGGGCUAGCGUUGCUCGGAAUGACUGGGCGUAAAGGGCGCGUAGGCGGUUGAUGCAGUCAGAUGUGAAAUCCCCGGGCUUAACCUGGGAACUGCAUUUGAGACGCAUUGACUAGAGUUCGAGAGAGGGUUGUGGAAUUCCCAGUGUAGAGGUGAAAUUCGUAGAUAUUGGGAAGAACACCGGUGGCGAAGGCGGCAACCUGGCUCGAUACUGACGCUGAGGCGCGAAAGCGUGGGGAGCAAACAGGAUUAGAUACCCUGGUAGUCCACGCUGUAAACGAUGUGUGCUGGAUGUUGGGUAACUUAGUUACUCAGUGUCGAAGCUAACGCGCUAAGCACACCGCC
rnacentral:rRNA from 1 species